CGGGUGAGUAAUGUCUGGGAAACUGCCUGAUGGAGGGGGAUAACUACUGGAAACGGUAGCUAAUACCGCAUAACGUCGCAAGACCAAAGAGGGGGACCUUAGGGCCUCUUGCCAUCGGAUGUGCCCAGAUGGGAUUAGCUAGUAGGUGGGGUAAUGGCUCACCUAGGCGACGAUCCCUAGCUGGUCUGAGAGGAUGACCAGCCACACUGGAAUUGAGACACGGUCCAG
rnacentral:rRNA from 1 species